AAGAUUCUUUUGCAUCGAAUAUCAACAUAAAUUCCGUAUCACACCUUUGGGAGUGUUGAAUCUGCCCAUUAACACUGGAAAAUUUGCUCAGUUGAUUGACGUAUACGUAUUAGAAAUGACACGGUGCUACAUAUUGGGUGCACUGAAUUUGCAUUAUUUCACCAGUGAUCAUUUCAAGCGCAGUACAGACGAGCAAAUCGAAGCAUUCUAUACUCAAUUCGUCGACAAUUUUUUUUUUCGAGAUUGGUUUUACGGCGUUCAGUUCAUUGAGCAUGCAUUUAACGACGCCAGAGAAAGCGGGUACAGGUUGUGUUACGGCAUUUGGUACUAUUGCCAAAAAUACGGUGUUCGAGCUCCAGUAAUUGGAGGAUUCGGGAAUGUAGUUGAAUACGCAGUACAAAUGUUUUAUACAAAUUACAAAAAUAAUAUUUGUAUGCACGCUCACUCACGCAUCCGAAAGUUUUUCACACAUCAAAACGCGAGCAAAGCACAAAUUGAUGACACCAUGGAUUUCUUAUUCAAGCAAAACUCCAACUGUGUGCCAGACCUGGAUUUGAUGUGGGAACUGGAAAAUACAUUAAAGCCAAUCCGAUUCGACGAUGGGAAAGGGUACUUUUUUGCUAUGGAAAGCAAUUGGUUCAAAUACAUACCAAUAUUCCUGAAUUUGCAACAGUACAUUCGCAAUCAUGAACGUGAACGAAAAGCCGCAUUGAAGCGAGGUGAACGAACCGAGCUUCGUGAAUACAGAAAUUUCACCGUGGUACCAACGUCAUCGUUCGAAAGACAUUACAUUCGAAUUGAUCGUAGAGUGUUUUAUCGCAUGUUGAGACAGAUAGAAUGUCCACAUCGGUUAUUUCGCAAUAAAAACGGCGGCCCAAAACAGGAGGAAGACAUCAAAAAUAAAGAAUGGGAUGUAUUAUGGCGUCUGUAUUUCGACAUCGAUAGCAUCGAAAGAGAACCGAGAAACAAAAAUGAUGGCCAUGCAACAAUAAAAUUCGACAACUCCAUUCAAACAGAUGGUGUCGGUAUGUCAUUUUUGAUGGAACGAACAAAAUUCAUCAUUGAAAAAGACGAUGAAGAGCGUAUGAAAGAGACACAAGAGAUGCUUCUGAAAAGCCAACAAGUGUAUGGUCUCGAUCCUGGACUACGUUUGGUCAUUGGUGGUGUGCGCAUUAACAAUUUCAACGAUCGAAAUAAUCGCACUGAAACAAUCAUUCGAUUGACAUCGGGCCAAUACCAAGAUAUGAUAAAUUCAUCGCGACGGAACAAAUGGCGCAAAAAGUUGACAACUGAAAUCGAUGAAAAGAUGCGUCUACAUCGUGAGUCAUUUGAUGAGCAGCCUGGUCCACGAGCCGAAGACCAUAAAUCAUAUGCUGAUCAUAUUUUGCGUCAUUUUGAAGAAAAGUUCACAGCAUACACACAGUAUGAAUACGCUUUGCAAGCAUUUCUCCAGUAUAUUGACACGAAUAGAGCACUUGAUGCAUAUGCAACCAAGCUCAUCGAUGGUAAGCAAACGUUCAUAUUUGUCGGUGAUCGUUUCAUUGCGGCAGAUUCACCAGCCCGAGGAUAUAUUCGAUCGAAGGUGCGAGAUUUGUUCGAGAAGUUGAAACGUCGCCGUAAAUGUACAGUGGUCGAGGCGGACGAAUUUCGGACGACCAAAUUAUGUUCGUUGUGCUUCCGUGAACUUGAAAAACCGACAAAAAGAGGCAAAGUAAAGGAGAAAUAUCGCUAUCUCACAUGCCAUGGAUGCGAACCAUUGUGUGGAGAAAAUGUGCUUGGAAAAGCCCAAGGUCCGAUUGAAUCACGAAAAAGCAAUCGCAAAUUGACGCAGCAACGAAAACAUCGUCCCCGUACUGAUGGUCCACGUAUGGCAUCAAAAUUUCGUAAAUAUGAAGAGAAAACUCAAAUUGGGCGUACUAUCACCUGGAAUCGUGAUGCAAAUGCAGGUCGUAACAUUCUCUACAAAGGAUGGUGUGCUGUUAUGAAUAUAGAGCUACAUCCAGCAUUUCAACGGAAUGUUGAAGAAGAAGAAGAAAAUGCAGGAGAAGGAGAUCCACCGCCAGCACCACCAGCACGAGCUCGACAAUCAAGACGAGCAGCAUCCAAUCAAAAUCAACAAACAACACAACGAACAUUGCGUUCUCAUCUGGAUCAAGCGCGGAGCUCUCGGCCGUAAGCCCUGGGUUUUGUGCGGGAUUUCAACGUGGUCCUACAAUUCGCUACAAUUAUGUACUGAAGUACUUACAAUUGAUCGCCUUACAAAUUGUUUUAUUAACUAACUCAUAACCAUCCACACACGAGCAUUCGAAUGAAUUGGGUAUAUUUUUACAUAUUUGAUCACAGCUAUCUGUUGUCAAACAUUCGUUUAUGUCUGAAAUGAAGAACAAACAGACAGAAAAAAAAUUGGUAUUCGACGAAAAUAAAGAGACAUUUUAUGAAAAUAUGUACAAACCAUCGCACUGUGACCCAUUGGGCUGUUGUCCAUGAUUGCAGUAGCAUUUUGCUCCAAGUGGUGUUGGUUUGCAACCAUAGGAACAAUUCAAGGCAAUGCAAUCCGCUUUUAACGUGCCAUUAUCUUAAUAAUUUAUGUGAAAGAAAAUCAGCAAAAAACAUUUGAAUAGUGUUCAUAUUUCAUAUUUGAUCUGUUCACCUUACCACAGUACUCGGUAUAUUCGUCGUUAACACAGUGAAAAGUUCCAUCGCAGAAUUUUUCGGUAUCGAUACAAACAGGACCAGUGCCACUUGGACUGGCGCAUUCACUCUGAUUUGGUAAGCAUUUUUUUAACCGACACAAAGAUUCGUCUUCGUCAGACGUAUCAAAUGGCCCACCUUUAUUUAAAAUAUAAAUAUAUUUGUACAACUUUUAAUGAUGAUAGCAAAUUUUUUAAGGAUUCAAAAUACUUACAGUCACUUGAUCCGUCGCACAACCACUUGCGUGGUAUGCACCGUCGUCUAAAAUUAAAAUAAUAGAUUUUC